rnacentral:rRNA from 1 species
UGGGGAAUAUUGGACAAUGGGGGGAACCCUGAUCCAGCAAUGCCAUGUGUGCGAAGAAGGCCUUCGGGUUGUAAAGCACUUUAGUGCGGGAGGAAGGUUGAUAGGUUAAUACCCUAUUGAUUUGACAGUACUGCAAGAAUAAGCACCGGCAAACUCUGUG